GCAGCGAUGACAUUCCACUGUUUGCACAAGUUAAACUGCUGAUGGAGAUGAUUCAAAUCAGAAUCUGAGC